AGGAAUACUUCAGCUCAGCCAUGCAUGUGUAAGUAUAAAUAAUUCUACUUUGAAACUGCGAAUGGCUCAUUAUAUCAGUUAUAGUUUAUUAGAAAUAAUUUACUACUUGGAUAACCGUAGUAAUUCUAGGGCUAAUACAUGAGUAAAUCCUCGACUUUGAAGAGGUGUGUUUAUUAGUAUGAAAACCAUAUGCUUUUGCAUAAUAGUGAGUAAUAAUAACCUUUCAUAUCGUAUGUUGUAAUAACGAUAGUUCUUUCAAGUUUCUGCCCUAUCAGCUUUCGAUGGUAGUGCAUUGGACUACCAUGGCAGUAACGGGUAACGAAGAAUUUGGGUUCGAUUUCGGAGAGGGAGCCUGAGAGAUGGCUACCACAUCCAAGGAAGGCAGCAGGCGCGUAAAUUACCCAAUCCUGACAUAGGGAGGUAGUGACAAUAAAUCACAAUGCGGGACUUUUAGUUUUGCAAUUGGAUUGAGAACAAUGUAAAAGAGUUAUCGAUAAACAAUUGGAGGGCAAGUCUGGUGCCAGCAGCCGCGGUAAUUCCAGCUCCAAUAGCGUAUAUUAACGUUGUUGCAGAAAAAAAACCUCA
rnacentral:rRNA from 1 species